UACGGAGGGUGCAAGCGUCGUUCGGAAUUACUGGGCGUAAAGCGCGUGUAGGCGGUCUGGCAGGUCGGUUGUGAAAUCCCCGGGCUCAACCCGGGAACUGCAUCCGAAACUUCCAGGCUCGAGUUCCGGAGAGGAAGGCAGAAUUCCCAAUGUAGGGGUGAAAUCCGUAGAUAUUGGGAGGAAUACCAGUGGCGAAGGCGGCCUUCUGGACGGUGACUGACGCUGAGACGCGAAAGCGUGGGGAGCAAACGGG
rnacentral:rRNA from 1 species